rnacentral:piRNA from 1 species
ACAUGUACAACGUAGCUCAUAGAUGGA